rnacentral:rRNA from 1 species
AGAAUCAACGCUGGCGGCGUGCCUAACACAUGCAAGUCGCACGAGAAAGUGGAGCAAUCCAUGAGUAAAGUGGCGCACGGGUGAGUAACACGUGAAUUAUCUACCUCCGAGUGGGGAAUAACUGAGAGAAAUCUUAGCUAAUACCGCAUAACACUUACGAGUCAAAGCAGCAAUGCGCUUGGAGAGGAGUUCGCGGCCGAUUAGUUAGUUGGCGGGGUAAUGGCCCACUAAGACGAUGAUCGGUA